AUGGAGGAGACCGACCGCGACGGCAAUGGUGUGUGCUUCCCCUACGAUGUACUACUCGACAUCCUCCGUCGCCUCCCCUGCCGCGCCGUCGCCAAGUCCCGGUGCGUCUGCCGUGUGUGGCGUGCCCUCCUCGACGCCCACAAGCCCCUUCCUCCAAUGGUGUUCUUCGACGUGACCAUCGGCGGCGCCCCCGCAGGCCGCAUCGUAAUGGAGCUCUUCGCCAAGGACGUGCCCAAGACGGCGGAGAACUUCCGCGCACUCUGCACUGGCGAGCAGGGCGUCGGCAGGAACGGCAAGCCGAUGCACUUCAAGGGCAGCAAGUUCCACCGCGUGAUACCCGGCUUCAUCUGCCUGAGCGGCGACAUCACCAAGGGCAACAACACCGGCAGUGAGUCCAUCUAUGGCGACAAGUUCCGCGACGAGAAGUCCGUCCUCAAGCACACCAAGCCCGGGAUGGUGUCCAUGGCCAAUGUGGGGCCGAACACCAAUAGUUCCCAGUUCUUCAUCUGCACCAUCCCCUGCCAGUGGCUCGACGGUAGGCAUGUCGUAUUCGGUGAGGUCGUCAAGGGCAUGGACGUCGUCAGGAACAUCAAGAAGGUGGGCACCCGUAGUGGCAUGUGUGCCAAGUCUGUCAUCAUCGCCGACUCCGGCCAGCUUUGA
rnacentral:rRNA from 1 species